rnacentral:rRNA from 1 species
AUGGCCUCCUCGGGUGACCCCCUGGCGGUGGCGGUGGCCGUGCGCGGGGACGGCCGCGCCAGCCGCCGAGCCGCCAGGUGGGCCGCCGCCGCGCCCGGCCGCGUCGCGCUCGUCCACGUCAUCCCGCCCCUCGCCUUCGUCCCCACCCCCACGGGGGAGCAGGUGCCGGUGGAGAGGAUGGCGGCGGGGGUGGUGGAGAUGUUCUCGCAGGACCGGAGGGCGCGCGCGCAGGACGUCUUCCUCCCCUUCCGCCGCCUCUUCGGCAGCAAAACCGUGGAGACGGUGGUUCUGGAGGGGCACAGCGUGGCGGAGGCGCUGGCCAGGUACGCGGCGGAGUCCGGUGUCCGCACCCUGGUGCUCGGAUCCGCAACCUUGAGCUGGUUCCGAAGGAUAUUAUGGCUCCAAGAUUUGCCCAAUACUGUCUUAAAAGCCAUGCCAUGUUCUUGCAAUGUAUUUAUCGUGUCCCGGCACAGAUUAACUAUAAAACUUGCGUAUCAGACUCAAACAGGCAACUCAAAUACUUGCUCAAAGAUCCAGUCAGUUAGUCAUAGAGCAUUUGCCCUGCAACUGACGAGCCAGGUGCAAGACAAACAAUCAUUGCACAACCUUCCUGAUGUCAACACACCAAAAUCUUCUGGAGUUACUAGUUCUGACUCGUGCUCUCAAGCCCGCAGUUCUCUUAGCAAUUCUUCGAGUGCUGCUAAAAGUUCAGAAAGUCACAGAAGACGUCUGUUUGGAAGCUUAUGUCGAAAGACACCAGGGCGAACAGGGGACACAGAUUUUGACUCUAUUGGCCAGUUGAAGGAAUUUCCUUAUGUCUCCUUAAGUUCUACUGAAGAGUCUCAACGUAUAGAUGAAGUAGCAAAACAGAGGAAGGAGUUGCAGGAUAAACCGAUGAUGUAUGUCGAGGCUUGUGAAAAUCACGUCCAUGCUAAGAAAAAGAUCCAGGUGCUUUCUAAUGGGUGUAGUGAAGAUUUGCAGAAAGUGCAAGAUGCACUACAGUGGGAGGAUUUUUUCAAACAGAAAGCUGCACCGGAGAAAAACAAACAUUUCAGAGCUAUUGAAGAAGCUGAGAUGGUGAAAGAGGCAUUCACUCGUGAGGCUUAUUCCAAGCACAAUGCUGAAACUGUAACCAACAUGGCGACUACCGAGAAGGCAAAGGUUCUGGAUGCUCUUCUGUCGAGAGGCAAAAGUUGCAGGCGCUACUCGAGACAUGAAAUAGAGCUCGCCACCGAGAACUUCUCUGAUGCAAAAAAGAUCGGUGAGGGAGGCUAUGGGAUUGUAUACAGGUGCACCCUUGAUCACACUGAAGUAGCUGUCAAGGUUAUCCAGCAAGAUUCCCGUGGCAAGAUUGAUGAGUUCUUUAAAGAGGUUGAGAUUCUCAGCCGACUUCACCAUCCCAACCUGGUUUUGUUGCUUGGGUUUUGUCCUGAAAUUGGAUGUCUUGUGUAUGAAUACAUGGAGAAUGGAAGUCUGGAAGAUCAACUUAUCGACAAUGAAGGGCGCCAACCACUCCAUUGGUUUCUGCGCUUCCAAAUUAUUUUCGAGGUAGCUCGUGGGCUUGCAUUCUUGCAUGGAACGAAGCCAGAGCCGAUUGUGCACCGUGAUCUCAAGCCUGGAAACAUCUUGCUGGACAAGAACUAUGUAAGCAAAAUAGGCGACGUAGGUUUUGCGAAGCUCAUAUCAGAUCUUGCGCCAGAUGGUUUCACAGAAUACAGAGACGACACCGUCAUUGCCGGCACAAUGUAUUACAUGGACCCUGAGUAUCAGUUAACUGGGACAGUUCGUCCGAAAUCAGAUCUUUUCGCUCUGGGGGUUAUCAUUCUCCAGCUGCUAACUGGCAAGCGUCCGCAUGGGCUAAUACUUAGUGUAGAAGAGGCCGUCCGAAAGGGCACAUUUCCCGAUAUUCUCGACGUGUCUCUGAAUGAUUGGCCAAUCGCUGAGGCGGAGAUGCUGGCAAAACUGGGGCUGCAUUGUACGGCGCUAAGAUGCAGGAACAGGCCUGAUCUCGAGCAAGUGGUGCUUCCAGAGCUCGAAAAUAUUCUAAGCAGGCUUACCAGUUCCCAGAAGUUUGAAAGUCAAAACACAGUUGUGCCAAGCCACUUCAUCUGCCCUAUAUCGCAGGAGGUAAUGGAUGAUCCUUGUGUUGCUGCUGAUGGUCAUACCUACGAGCGCACGGCGAUCGAAGCUUGGCUCAAGAAACACAAGAUCUCCCCUAUUACGAAGCACAUUCUUCCAAGUCUGACCAUAAUUCCCAGCCAUUCCUUGCACGAAGCGAUCCAGCAAUGGAAGCGGUCAUCUAGAUGA